rnacentral:misc_RNA from 1 species
UGGACUAAUCCAAUAAACG